rnacentral:lncRNA from 1 species
GUGAUGAAGUCCGCCAAAGAGAUUCGAACGGAAGCGGAUGGAAUCACCGUAACUGCUGACGAUCAGUUGCUGAUGGGCCGCAGCCGCAGCCGCUGCUGCCUGGGCGGCUUGAGACGGCAUCACGGAAUCAGCACUGGGUGCUGGACUUGUUGGGUGUGCAGCGGCCGGAACUGAGGGCAAAGGACGACUGGGCCUGGAACCGUCACCUUUUGGGGAAAGAGUCUACGAUCCUGGAACAAAAACACUGAGAUAUCGCGUUCGUUCACAGAGCACCAAGUCACUUUGCUGGUGGCUGGUGGUGGUGGUGGUGGGGGGGGGGGGGAGAGAACGUAGAGGAGCAAAGGGGGGCGGAGCCUCGACCCACUCGUGAUGAAGGCCAGCCAGUAGAGUGGCAGAGCUUUGUCCCGUCUCGCUCCAAUCCCGUGGGCGACUCGCUUCCAAAUGGGCGGAGUUUUUGUCACGACUAUCAGACAACUGCUGGACGACGACGGAUCUCUUUCGCCGGAUUGAUCUCUCGUCAUUUCGCUGCGUGCUGCGUCUAAUAUUCUUCCCUUUUCAAUUGUCGUGACUCGGAUCGUCACUUGACUCGAAUGAUGGCCGUCAUUUUUCAGCAUCGACUUUUCAACGGACGAUAAUAACAACCCCAAAAAAACGGCCGUCGCCUCGCAGCUACAACAUUCCGAUUCCGCUGGAUCACUUUUUCUUCUUCUGCCCAGUCUUGGGGCGUCGGGCGAAGGUUAAACAGAUGCAUGAACGAGCUUGCAUUAUGCUAAUGAAAUGGGCAGACAGCAGGGAGUUGAUUGGACCAACAUCAACGACCCAACUUUGAUGUGACAUCCAGGAGCAGCAGCAGCCGUCGGCGUCAAACACAAGAAGAAGAUGCAACAAAACAUGCCAACUUUUUCUCUGGCGUUUAAUGACGGCCCAGUUAGGAGCCGGGAAUCUUUUUUCCUUCUUCGUUGGGCGUCGGAUGCGCCGUCGUAAAAUAAGAAAAUAAGAAAAAAAGGGGGAAAAAGUCCCGACGACUUUGGGGGGCUCAGACUGGCGGGUCUUGUGCGGGCGCGUUGAGUGGAUUCGAAGCGGAAAACUGAGGUGUUUGCUCUCCUGCAAAAUGGAGGGUAGCUAGGGGUAGGGAGGGCUGGAUUUUCGUCCGGCUCGUGUUUGCUUAGCGUCGGAUAAAACGUGGCUAACGAGAGCUAACGAGGUUGGCAGAGCAAGCUCUUUUGCCGACGAGGCCUUGAUUCGAUUAGGAGACGCCAUUUGGUCUCGUCACCUAACAGCAUUAAGACUCGUUCCGUAAAAUCCAAAAAGGAUUUGUAUAUUCCGUCUGUCUUCUUCUUCCCUUUCUUUUUUAGAUUUCCCCCCUUUUUUUGUUUUGUCUGCUUUGUAGCCAGGAGCAUUCAGCAGCGUUCAAAGUUGUGUGUUUAUCCAAUGGCAGCGAUGCGUGCGUUUAUGCAGACUUUUUGUCCCCCCCACCCCGGUUACUGCUGGCUGCUGCUGGAUGCUGGAUGCUGGCUGCUGGUGCGGACGAGGAGGACGCUUUUGGACGCUUUAGGGACGGGCUACGAGGGUCUAAUCCGAUUGAGCGACUCGACUCUCUGUUGUAUAGUCGGUCGUCAUCGUUGUCGGACGCUCGGAAUAAUAAUCAAGUCAACAGACUGGCGACCCGUCGCCACUGUGUUGCUGCUGCUACUGCUGCGCUUGUCCUGCUGCUCUUUCCAGCUCCCAAAGUAUCAUCGAAGACAGCAGCAAAAACUGGAAUUGGAUUACUCUCGCUUUAAACGCAGCAUCGAGGAUUACAUUCGAGCCUCCUUUUCGCUCUCGUGCAUCGACAACUUCUCCACGGACGGGCCAGCACUGCUUCUCCUCCUGCGCUCCUGCUACUGCUGCCAAAGGAAAACUUUCAAUUGGCUAGAAUCAACACAGCUCGAUGACACAGAUGGCUUCACGACAAACGUGUUUCCUAGUGGCUCACAUCAGCCCUGAUUGGCCGUGGAAGCGUUCACUCUGUCUUCUCGACGAAUUCAUUUCGAUUUUACAGUUUUCUCCUUUUUUGAACCGACCUCGCAAUUAGGUUCCACGGCCCUCCGUCGCCGGUGAUAACUCGCUGCUAUGUUUACUCUAAAUUACAAAUAAUACUCUCUGUGAUUUUAGCGUGUUGUCAUUUUUUUGUAAUCGCCUUAUACGAUUAAUUAUUAAUUUUUCCUAUUGUUUUUCUCAAUUUUUUUCGAAAUGAUCGUUAACAUCACGAAAUAAUUUUGAAUCUUCCGUUUAAACGUAUGCCCGAAUGAAUUGGUUUGAUUGUCUUGUGAGGAAAAGUCGUUCAGUGUAAAACAAACAGUCCAACCGAAAUACGUAUAUGAUAUUAUUAGUUCAAACUUAGGGAAAUGCUUUACGAUUUUUAAAAACAGUGUUUUGAAUCUCCCUGGAAGUCGGUAUGCAAGUGUAAGUAUUUGCCGUGAUUGUUACACUUUCACGAUAAUGUUUUGAAUGCCGCGCGCCACAAAAAGUUUUACAUUUAUAUGCCAUCUACCGCUGACUAUUGACAACUUCUAUUGAAAGUGACAUCUAGUAUUGAUUACGGCAUCUGCUUCAGUUGCAGACGACGCAUUACGUUUGAAUGUGCAACUGACAUAAGAUUCAAAACUCAUUACCAGAUGUCGCUACUGUCAUUCUUGUUGUUCCUACGUCAUGAAACGAGACGAAAUGGGCGAAACAAAUUGUUGCUAAUUAUACUUAUAUUCCUGUGAUUUAAAAUACCAAAUUGAACUUCAUAUCUUUAUAAAUGCAUAGCUACUGUCAGUCAUCGCAACAAGUUGCUGACUUAGCACUCAGUCACUUUCCAUCCAUUAGAUCCUCAUGCUGUCAAAAGCCUAAAACCCAUGUUUGAAGCACACAUAUAGUGGAAUACAAAUGUGUGGAUUUCCCAUUACUGCUACAACACAUACCACGCCACAUCAGAUGCCUUACUAAAUCAUCACCCACAUGAAAAAGGAAAUUUAUCCCACCUGAGGAGUAAUGCGGUUGUUUGCUGUAAUUCCAUUACUAAGGUUUUUCAUCAUGAACAUUUCAGUGUGCUUCUUAGAAAAUAGCACGUAAGAUCCCCACGGACAUCCUUGAGCCAAUGCUGGAUUUGUCCAUGACAGAAGAGGGAUUUCCACCAACGUUCUUUCUCCAUCCUUAUCUUCAAGACGUACGCUCAUCCAGCUUCACUACUUCAGUGCUUCUUAUGCUGCUAGCCUGCUACACAACUUUUCUUGCUUUCUUUGUGAGUUGGAUCACUUCAGUUGCUGUGACACACCUACAGUCACUCACCACGGGAUUAUGGCCAGGUGAAGCAGAGGAAACGUCGAGAAGAUGGACACCAAAACGUCGCCGGUAUCUCUAAAAUGUCAUCGCGGAUCAUCAUGUGUUGUUGGUAAUAUGUUUGUGUCUGUGUUAGUUAACCCGUUGGCUGCCACGCCUUUGUUCUCCCCUGCACGGGCCGCGCUGUUCGGUCUCGUGGUUUACAAG